rnacentral:rRNA from 1 species
CAAUAGCGUAUAUUAAAGUUGUUGCAGUUAAAAAGCUCGUAGUCGGAUUUCGGGUCGGGCCGAGCGGUCUGCCGAUGGGUAUGCACUGUUUGGCGCGGCCUUCUUUCCGGAGACCGCGGCUACUCUUAACUGAGCGGGCGUGGGAGACGGAUCGUUUACUUUGAAAAAAUUCAGAGUGUUUCUAGCAGGCAGCUCGCUCUUGCAUAGGUUAGCAUGGGAUAAUUUAAUAGGACUCUGGUGCUAUUUUGUUGGUUUCGAACACCGGAGUAAUGAUUAAAAGGGGCAGUCAGGGCACUCGUAUUCCGUCAGAGAGGUGAAAUUCUCAGACCAAAUGGAAAGACGAACCACUGCGAAAGCAUUUGCCAGGGUAUGUUUUUCACUGAUCAAGAACGAAAGUUA